rnacentral:ncRNA from 1 species
GAACGCCGGAUGCGGUGAAAGUAGUACGUCCGGUGUGGAGGAGGGGAAAAGAAAGAGAUAAUAUCAAGUCCUUACCUAUUCCUAU